CUAAGAGAGCUCAUGAAUUGGGAAAGAAGAUAACAUUCUGUAUACUAUAGAAAUAUUUAUUCUUGUGAGAGAACAGCUUGCCCUCAUGAAUAAAGAAGAUUUGUCAGCAACAAAAGGGAUUCCUAGACCUAGUUUAGUAAAGAGUGAGGAUCUCAUGUCUCCAGUCAUGAUGUAAAGCAAAGGAUAACCAGAAUACAACCCACAGCUCCAGAGAAGCUAUCUAAGAAGACGGACCCUAAGAGAGACACAUAGAUAGCCCUGCAAAGAAGAAAUAGAUGAGAUCUACAUGAGCAAACUGGUAUUAAUGGGGUAAUGGAGGGCAAGGAAUGGGGAAUGAGAACACAGGGGAAUGGGAUGGUCAAGCUGGAAAGGGACAGAGUGGGAGAGCAAGGAAAAAGAUACUAUGAUAAAUGAAGACAUCAUGGGAAUAUGGAAAAACAGGGUGCUAGGAAAGUUCUCAGGAACCCACAAGGAUGAUCUCACCUUAGAGUACUGGCAAUAGUCGAGAAAGUGCCUGAGCUGGCCUACUCAGGGACUGGAUGGUUAAAUACUCUAACAAUCAUCAUAGAACCUUCAUCCAGUGACUCAUGGAAGCAGAUCAACAGAUCCACAACCAGGUGCCAGGCCAAUUUCCAGGUGUCCUAUUGAUGAGA